rnacentral:tRNA from 3 species
GUCGUGGUAGCCUAGCCUGGUCAAGGCGCAGGGUUGCUAACUCUGUGGCGCAAGCCUCCGGGGUUCAAAUCCCCGCCACGACG